rnacentral:lncRNA from 1 species
AUCUAUGGGGCUGGGGUGGAUUCUAUGGGGCUGGCGUGGAAUCUAUGGGGCUGGAGGACCCUAAAAUGGGGCUAAAGGGGCUCAAAAUGGGAAUCUAUGGGGCUGGAGUGGGGAUCUAUGGGGCUGGAGGACCUUAAUAUGGGAAUCUAUGGGGCUGGAGGACCCUAAUAUGGGGCUAUAGGGGAUCUAAAUGGGGAUCUAUGGGGCUGGAGGGGCUUAAUGUGGGGCUGGAGGGGAUCUAUGGGGCUGGAGGAGCCUAAUAUGGGAAUCUAUGGGGCUGGAUGACCUUAAUAUGGGAAUCUAUGGGGCUGGAGUGGGAAUCUAUGGGGCUGGGGUGGGAUCUAUGGGGCUGGAGUGGGAAUCUAUGGGGCUGGAGGGGGAAUCUAUGGAGCUGGGGUCGAAUCUAUGGGGCUGGAGGGGGGAUCUAUGGGGCUGGGGUGGAAUCUAUGGGGCUGGAGGACCCUAAUAUGGGAAUCUAGGACCCUAAUAUGGGAUCUAUGGGGCUGGAGUGGGAAUCUAUGGGGCUGGAGGACCCUAAUAUGGGAAUCUAUGGGGCUGGGGUGGAAUCUAUGGGGCUGGAGGACCCUAAUAUGGGAAUCUAUGGGGCUGGGGUGGGAACCUAUAGGGCUGGAGUGGGUCUAUGGGGCUGGGGUCAGAUCUAUGGGGCUGGGGUCCCCAAUAUGGGGCUGGGGUCGAAUGUAUGGGGUUGUAGGACCCUAAUAUGGGAAUCUAUGGGGCUGGGGUCGAAU